CAAUAGCGUAUAUUUAAGUUGUUGCAGUUAAAAAGCUCGUAGUUGGAUUUCGGGUAGGAUUUGCCGGUCCGUCUUUGAGAUGUGUACUGGUAAGUCCUAUCUUCUUGUCGGGGACCAGCUCCUGGGCUUCACUGUCCGGGACUGGGAGCCGACGAAGUUACUUUGAGUAAAUUAGAGUGUUCAAAGCAAGCCUACGCUCUGAAUAUAUUAGCAUGGAAUAACACGAUAGGACUCUGGCUUAUCUUGUUGGUCUGUGAGACCAGAGUAAUGAUUAAGAGGGACAGUCGGGGACAUUCGUAUUUCAUGGUCAGAGGUGAAAUUCUUGGAUUUAUGAAAGACGAACUUCUGCGAAAGCAUUUGUCAAGGAUGUUUUCAUUAA
rnacentral:rRNA from 1 species